ACGUCUAUAGCUCUGUCUGG
rnacentral:misc_RNA from 1 species